GAAGGUUCUAUCCUUUAUUCUCAUAAUAAUUACUGUACUUAGCAAACAAAAGAGGUAACAAAUGAGGUUUCAAAUUAGAAAAGUAACUUUUUAAAAAAUGAUCCAUCCUCUCUCCCUCCACCAUCCUCAUCUUCUUCUUCCUCUCACCUUCUACCUUCCUUCCUCCUUUUCCAACGUUUCCAUUUUCAGUUAACCAAAAGAAAAAAAAGCAGGUAAGACAUUAUGACAUCACCGACACUCUUUCAACCCACAAAAUAUAUGAUUGUAUUUUGUUAAUGUGAGUGAAUUUAGUUUCGCAAUAAUUAACAUAACUUAGAAAUGCCUUACAUGGUUAAACUAAACUUGAAAAUAAUUACCUAUUUUGAUGAAAAAAAGAGAUUUGACCUAUCUAUCCUUUUCAUUGAUAAAUAACUAAAAUAUCAAAAUUAUAUUUUUGAAUGACAUGCCCAAAAUUAGUCAUAAAAUCACACAAGACAUUGUCCACUAUUGUUUAAACAAAUCCCAGCAGCCAAAAAAUAAAGAAGAAAUUAAUUUUAUUUAAAACAAAAUUCUGAUUUUUCCUUCAGUCAAACCAAAACCCCCAACUAAGAAUAUUUUUUUUCCCCUUAAUAAAUACUGACAUCAAUCCCUUCCAAUUUCCAAAUCCCAUCUUCGCCUUCCUUCUUCAUCAAUUUCUAAAUUUCCCAACCCAAAUUCAAACACACACACACAUACCUCCAUAAUUUCUUCAUAUUCACAUGGCAGCUAAGAGAAUUAGAGAACAAUUUGAAGCUUCCGAUAUCGCUAAAUC
rnacentral:lncRNA from 1 species